rnacentral:rRNA from 1 species
AGAAUCAACGCUGGCGGCGUGCCUAACGCAUGCAAGUCGCACGAGAAAGGGGAGCAAUCCCUGAGUAAAGUGGCGCACGGGUGAGUAACACGUGAAUAAUCUACCUCCGAGUGGGGAAUAACUGAGAGAAAUCUUAGCUAAUACCGCAUAACACUUACGAGUCAAAGCAGCAAUGCGCUUGGAGAGGAGUUCGCGGCCGAUUAGUUAGUUGGCGGGGUAAUGGCCCACCAAGACGAUGAUCGGUA